UAACUUGUUUCCUUCCACAUAGACGAUCCAUGAAAUUCACGUAAAGUCUAUGUUGAUGAUUUGAAAUCCGUUUUGAGCUUUUUUAACGAUCGUGUAGCUCGCGAUUCUUAUAAGAAGAAAAACGACCCACGGCUGCAGCACUGGGCCAUUCCGAAGUCUUUGUUUACUUGUGUCACCACAAACUGUUUCGUUAAUCGGAACAUUCUAAAUCGGGAUGGAUUGGACCGUAAAGGCCGUAAUUUAUCUCACAGCAGCAGUAUGCAGUCAAGAUGCCUUCCACAAUCCUGCAGCGGCUGGAGGACCAAGGCAUUCAGGGCUUUCCAUGGGAGGUCGGAGGUGGCAAAACUGGUGAUCCUUAGAUGCGUCUACCGGCACAGCAAAACAAUUGCUUCGAUUUAGCAGCAGCAGUGGAAACGGAUUCAAUAUGGCAACUUGCAGUCUCUGGUGAAAUAUUCCGCGACCAGUACCUCGUAACAACAACGACCCAUGCCUCGGUCACAGAAAGACGUUAUUUUAUUUUAUCAUUAUAG